UUUUUUUUUUUUUUUUAAUGGCAGUACCCUUAGCAUAUGGAAGUUCCUGGGCCAGAUGCUGAAUCCAAGCCACAGCUGUGAUCUACACCAAAGCUGUGGCAACACUGGAUCCUUUAACCCACUCCACUGGUCCAGGGAUUGAACCUGUGUUUUUGCUGCACCCUCAGUCGCUGCAGUCGGAUUCUUAACCCACUGAGCCAAGCGGGAACUCCCAGUUUGGAUUCUUUGAAAACGUAAAAAUGGGUUUCUUCAGACAAAGACCUUCAGGGGAAUUCCCACCUCCCUUUUAAAUCUAUGAUCCAUGUGGCCGCGGGAAGAGAUUAUUUUAUAUUCUUAAAUCCAAAUUAAUAAAUGACUACUGCCUAUUUAAAAUUAAAGCAUUUUGGCCUGUUGGCGGCCCUCCAUCUCCCUCAGCCUGACCCUGGAGGGAGCCCCCCUCCGCCCCAGGCUGUGUCUGUGAGCCGAGGCUCCUUUGGCGGAGCCAGGCUGGUUUGGCGCCUGCCUUGCGGAGGCUCACUGGGAACCGCGCUCGCUCGGGCUGUCGCCUCCGCCUCUUUGGGGCUUGCUGCCCGCCCACCCCCACCUUAAAAGGGCAAUGCCAGGCGACGGGCCCCGCCCGGGGCAGGGGGUUGCAGGCGGGCCUCUGCUAGGCUCGCCAACCGGGCGCGCGCUGCCCCCGCACGUGCUCCAGGGCGGAAGGUCCAGGCCUGCGCUAGCCUGCCCGGGCAGGCCUUGCAGAGCCACUUCUUUCUCGUCUACCCCGACCCUCCCCGAGAAGCAGAGCAGCUUCCCGUGGCCCGGUGCCGGCCACGUUUCCUUCCCACCCCACCGCACCGCACCCUACCCUUCUCUCUCGCCCCUCCCCGGGAGGCCGUGCCUCCGCCACACCCCCUCCUCGGGUUUAAGAACUUGGGCUGGACAGUUUCACAUCAGAUGAUGGGAAAAUCGAGGGCUUAACGGCUGAAUUUGUGAACUUGGAGUUCGUCAGUUUAAUAAAUGUAGGCUUGAUUUCAGUUUCAAAUCUCUCCAAAUGACCUAAAUUGAAAAAGCUUGAGCUCAGUGAGAGUAAAAUCUAUGGAAGUCUGGAUAUGUUAGCAGAAAAACUUCCAUAUCUCACAUACCUGAAUUGAAGUGGAAAUAAACGGAAAGAUAUCAGCACCCUGCAACCUUUGAACAACUUGGACUGUCUGAAAAGCCUGGAUCUGUUUAACUGUGAGGUUACUAAGCUGAAUAAUUAUCGAGGGGGUGUCUUCAAGCAGAACCCACCUGGAUGGCUGUGAUAGAGAGGAUCUUAAAGCCUCUGUCUCAGAUGCCAAGGUGGAUGGUAUGGAUGAAGAGGAGGAAGAUGAAGAAGGAGAAGAUGAAGGCAAGGAGGAGGAGGAUUGUAACGAAGAAGGGUUUGAUGAUGAAGAGGAUGAAGUCAGGGGGGAGGAAGAAGAAUUUGGACAGGAUGAAGAAGUUGAUGAAGACAGUGAGUAUGAAGAUGAGGAUGAAGAGGAGGAAGAAAUCAGGAAAGAUGAAAAGAAGAAAAGAGAAAUAGAAGAUGAAGAAGAUGAUUAAGACCCCGAAUAACCUACAAAAAAGAACAAAAAAGUAGCUGUGAUACAAAUUCCAGGACACCCACCCACCCAAAGAGCCAAAGAAUAGUUCCUAUGACAUUCUGCCUUCCUCCAUUUAGUCUGUCUUGGAAAGCCACCACCAAGACUUCACCCCAACAAAAUUGUUGGCAUUGUUAGGUUUUCAACAUUAAGGCUCUUGCUAUAGCGUGGAGAGCUGUGAUUGGUGAGUCAACCCUCUGUGGCUACCAGUUACACCAAGACCGUAACCAGCAUUUUUACUUUCUGUACAACAAAGAAGCUUUGUAAGUAAAAUCUUAACAUUUGGGGUGUGUUUUUUUUAUGCUUUUUUUUUAAUGAAAUUUUUUUACGUUAGAACAUUUUAUGUGACAACUGCCAAAAAAGUAUUUUUAAGAAUAAAAUAAAUGAAAUAAACUUUCCUCCUUGGUAAAAAAUAAAAUAAAAUUACAGUAUUUUAUUUUUAAUGAUCUGUGCCAAUACAAGUUUCGGAGUGGAGGAUAUAUAUUUUUACUACAAUUUUAUUGAUGAAUGGAGUUAGAGUUUUUACAAUACAUAAAUUGAAGGCAAAAUUGAAUUUACCCCAAAGAUAACUAAGCUUAAGCUUCAAGGGCCCUAAUUUUGAAAGAGCAAUAUCUGGUCACAUUUUCCUAAAGAGGAUCACAAAUUUGCAUUAUGUUUAAGCCCCAUAGAACUUGAGUCCACCAUUGACUGGGAUAGUUUGUUGGAAUUGCAUAAGUGUUUAAUAAUCCUAGUACUUUCUUUAAAAUACAUAUAUUUGGUCAUAUUAUUCUGCUAUUUUCUACAUCUUAGGUGUGAUAGACUAUUUUAUUUGCUCACAAUUUUUCAUUCCUCUCCACUUAAGCCAUGCUUCCUUGCAGUGCAACAUACUUCCUGUCCCUACUGAUUUUGGACUUGCUUUCAAUAAAAGAUGAGCAGACAAGAAGUAUGCUAUGUCCCCAGCAGAAAGUUACCCUGUCCUAGUGCAGUUUGGCUCUGUUUCUCAACUUCUGCCCUCCACUCAGUGUAUUGCAUGCGUUAAAGAACAAGUGUUGUUUCUACCUGGGUCUCAGAAUGAGAAGACACACAGAGCACAGCCAAGUUCAGCAUAAGCUCAGUUGACCUACAGUCCUUAUGUAAUGUUAGCAAGAAAUAAAUGUUUGUAGUUGCAUUGAGAUUUGGUCAUUAUUUGUCACUGUAGCAAAAGCCAGAGUGAUUGUCAUUCUGCCUACUUUUUCAUUUUACCAUAUGUUAUCUAUCAUCUCUCUAUCUAUCCAUCCAUCCACAGUAAUAUUUUCCUGAAUUUGCAGGAUGUGUAUUAUACUCUGGUUGCCUUUAACUAGCAUACUUAUUGAUGGUUGCCAAGGACUGAGUCAUUAAAUUCAUACCUUCUCUUCCCUGGAGACCGUCCCUUGUAAAUGCUUUUUUCUGUUCUUUUUUAAAAAGUAUAUUAGCAGGUUUUCACAAGGAAGGCAGCUUACACCACUAGGGACUUCAAAUUUCAAGUCUGUAUUACAUGCUCGCCACUUUCUGAAAAUGCAAAAUACAUCUUUGUCUGUUUUCUUGAAGUUAUUUUAUAAAAUAGGUGGGGUUUGCUUUCUAAUUAUUUUUAAUUAUGCCUCUAUAGAAUAACUGCAAAUUUCCUCUGCUUGUUUAUCUGAAAACCCAUUUUGUGAAGUGAGGCUGUGUCCCCUGAUGGGCACUAUUUACAUUUUAAAGCAUCUAAACACAAGUCUCUUCUGCAGAUCCCCUCCAAUGUGGCCAAAUUAAUGUCAUUUCAAUUUUUGCCAUUCCACUAAAUUUCCCUAAUCAGUGAUAACAGAUGUUAUUUGCAUGUGCGAGUUCAUUAAUAUGUUACUUCCUUAAACACUCAAGCUUUAUCAAGAAAUAUAUCCCAGGAGUUCCUGUCGUGGCUCAGCGGUAACAAACCAGACUAGUAUCCAGGAGGACGCAAGUUUGAUCCCUGGCCUCGCUCAGUAGGUUAAGGAUCCGGCAUUGCCAUGAGCUCAAGGGCAGGGACCGAACCCGCAACCUCAUGGUUCCUAGUCGGAUUCGUUAACCACUGUGCCACGACGGGAACUCCGGAAGUACCUAGUUUUGGUACCAGCAGCAUGUGGAAGUUCACAGCUGUGGCUACAGGGAUCCUUAAACCAGGGCCGGGGAUGGAACCUGAGCCUCCAU
rnacentral:lncRNA from 1 species